UACGUAGGGUGCAAGCGUUAAUCGGAAUUACUGGGCGUAAAGCGUGCGCAGGCGGUGAUGUAAGACAGUUGUGAAAUCCCCGGGCUCAACCUGGGAAUUGCAUUUGUGACUGCACGGCUAGAGUGUGUCAGAGGGGGGGUAGAAUUCCACGUGUAGCAGUGAAAUGCGUAGAGAUGUGGAGGAAUACCGAUGGCGAAGGCAGCCCCCUGGGAUAACACUGACGCUCAUGCACGAAAGCGUGGGGAGCAAACAGG
rnacentral:rRNA from 1 species